GGCAGGGGAGGAGGCUUCCAGAGUCUUGGGAAGCAAGGACAUCGAGGCCUCAUCCCAUCCCGGAAGAAACGCACAGCCAGACCCUGGCACAGCAGCCAGCCAACAUCCCUUGAUGCCCCAGGCAUAGAUUCAACGUCAAUUUGUGAUAAAAAAAAAUAGAGGGAAUGGGUGCUGCCUUCUCCUUGCAACUGGGGUGGAUGCUCUAAGAGGGCUGUGAAGA
rnacentral:lncRNA from 13 species